UACGAAGGGGGCUAGCGUUGUUCGGAUUUAGCUGGGCGUAAAGCGCACGUAGGCGGAUCGUUAAGUCGGGGGGUGAAAUCCUGGAGCUCAACUCCAGAACUGCCUUCGAUACUGGCGAUCUUGAGUCCGGAAGAGGUGAGUGGAACUCCUAGUGUAGAGGUGGAAUUCGUAGAUAUUAGGAAGAACACCAGUGGCGAAGGCGGCUCACUG
rnacentral:rRNA from 1 species